CUGCCCUCAAGCACGGCUUGUGUGUUGGGUGUGGUCCCCCCCGGGGACCUGCCCGAAAGGCAGCGGCGACGUCCGUCUGGUCCUCGAGCGUAUGGGGCUCUGUCACUCGCUCGGGAAGGACCUGCGGGGGUUGGUCACCACUAUAUUUUACCAC
rnacentral:misc_RNA from 1 species